AACAUAUUUUUUUGUCAAAUUAAAAUAAAAAUGUAUAAUCCCAUAGAGAUAGAUUAUAGAUAGAUGAAAUAUUAAAAUUAGUUUUGAUAUUUAAAAUUAAAAAAAAGGGGGGGUUUCCGAUAGUAGUAGUUGUAGCGGUCAAGCCGAGCCGAUCCGAUGACGCGAGCCACUCACACACUGGGGGUUCCCCCAACAACACGCGCCCCUCCCCGGCGACCGUACCGUAUUAUCCCGCACCCUCCCACUCUUUCGCCUUGCCGUUUCUCACUCUCUUUCUAUUUCUCUUUCUCUCUCUUCACCAAACCCUAAUCCCCUUUUUCCGAUGCCGGACUUCCACGAUUCCCUUGCGCCGCCGUCGCGCCCCGUCCCCGUCCGCGAGGAUUGCUGGUCCGAGGAAGCUUCCUCCACCCUCGUAGACGCAUGGGGACGCCGUUAUCUCGAACUCAAUCGUGGCAACCUCCGUCAGAAGGACUGGCAGGACGUCGCCGACGCCGUUAACGCUCUUCAUGGCCACACCAAGAAGACUCACCGCACCGACGUGCAGUGCAAGAACCGCAUCGAUACCAUUAAGAAGAAGUAUAAGAUCGAGAAGGCUAGGGUUUCCUCUUCCAACGGUGCUCUUUCUUCUUCCUGGCCUUUCUUCGAACGAUUAGAUGCUCUCAUUGGCCCUAAUUUCAAUGCCAAAAAACCCACAUCUUCUCCCUCGCCUUCGCCGCCCGUUGCUCUUCCUUUGUUGCCGCAUCGUAAAAACCCUUCUUCCCAUGCGAUUGCGGUGCCGCCGACGGCUAUCGCGCUGCCCCAGAAGCGCUCGGCGGCGGUGGCAAUGGAUGAAGGUUACUUCAGGAGGAAUUAUUCCGCCAUGGCUGCGGCUGCAGCGGCUGCGGAGGCUGAUGAAGAGGAAGAAGAGGAAGAGGAGGAGGAGGAGGAGGAGUUGGAGGAGGAGGAAGAAGAUGAAGACGAAGGGAGGGGAAGCGAGGUGGAGGAAGGGGAGAAGGAGAGGGAAGGCAUGAGGAGGUUGGCGAAGGCGAUAGAGAAGUUUGGGGAAGUGUAUGAGAGAGUGGAGGGGCAGAAGCUAAGGCAGAUGGUGGAUUUGGAGAAACAGAGGAUGCAGUUUGCUAAGGAUCUUGAAGUGCAGAGGAUGCAGAUGUUUAUGGACACGCAGAUUCAGCUGGGAAGAAUUAAGCGCGCCAAAAGAUCUGGGUCUAAUGUCCAGCUCCAUUCCAACUGAGUCACUAGUUACAACUUACAAUUGAUUUCACAGAACAACACUGCCCAUGUAGUUUUUUAUUCCCAAAGGAAAGCCUUCAGUGUGCUCUAUAGUUAUUUAUUUUUACAUGUCAUCUUCUAUCACUGGAGAUAGGCAAUGGUGGAGUCUGGCAGGAAGCUGCAUCUAUUAUCUGCACUGUUCAAGAAAUGUACCACAGACCACUGCAAGCAAUGUAACAAUGUCUCGGACUUUCUGUCUGUAUGAAGGGAGGUGGGAUUUGUGAAGGAUGGGUUUGGGUCACUGAUAAAAGGUUGGAUGGCUGGUUACUUGGAUAUCCAACAAAAUUUUUGGUUGAUUUACUAACCAUUCUUUAAUUAAAAUUCAUUUUAUCCAUCCCUGAUUAGGUGCUUUUUUUUCUUCUUGUUUCUGCAUGACACAACUCUUUUUGUUUUCCUCUUUAUUAUGUAUAAACUAUACAGAAGAGUAGAAAGACAGUCUUAGAGAAGUAUCUGAUAUGGAUGAACUCAAAUUCAGCCAGAUGAGUUUGUCUUGUACUGAAAUAAAGAUGACCUGGAUCCUUAGGAUGGUUCUAUGCUGAGAACAUGAAGUGUAUGGAAGGAAAUUUGAUGCUAGCUGUGGCUUGCUGGUGGCUUUGACUCCCUUUAGUUGGAUUGGCUCCUGGUCUUGAGGCCUUAAGGGGAAUCUUCCAUCUUUUAUCUCUAUGGUCUCUUAAAACAUUGUGCUUUUUGUGGCAAUGAUCAAGAUAUGUAUAGCUAGCCAACUGGGCAAUGAUUCAAUGACUGUGCUUGAAAGGCUAUCUUGCUCUGGUUAUAAUCAUGGGAAAGUACAUAUCGUCAGCUGAUACUUACUAUUCUGAGGGAAUAUCUCCAAUAGAAAUUUAUCCUGGAGUAAUUUUGGAUUCUUUUAGCUAGCCUUUAAUUUUGUUGUUUUUAGUCCUUAUAAAUUAAUUUCAGCAACUGUACUAGGCCUAAUUCGGCUCCGAUAUAGAAUUUGCUCCAAUGUAUAACACUUCAAUGUCU